UGGGGAAUAUUGCGCAAUGGGCGAAAGCCUGACGCAGCAACGCCGCGUGAAGGAUGAAGUAUUUUGGUAUGUAAACUUCGAAAGAAUAGGAAGAAUAAAUGACGGUACUAUUUAUAAGGUCCGGCUAACUACGUGCCAGCAGCCGCGGUAAUACGUAGGGACCAAGCGUUGUUCGGAUUUACUGGGCGUAAAGGGCGCGUAGGCGGCAAUUCAAGUCAUCUGUGAAAUCUCCGGGCUUAACUCGGAACGGUCAGAUGAUACUGCUUUGCUAGAGUGCAGAAGGGGCAAUCGGAAUUCUUGGUGUAGCGGUGAAAUGCGUAGAUAUCAAGAGGAACACCUGAGGUGAAGACGGGUUGCUGGGCUGACACUGACGCUGAGGCGCGAAAGCCAGGGGAGCAAACGGGAUUAGAUACCCGCGUAGUCCCUGAGCGGGCUGGCAAGGCGCAU
rnacentral:rRNA from 1 species